rnacentral:rRNA from 1 species
UACAGAGGGUGCAAGCGUUGUUCGGAAUUAUUGGGCGUAAAGGGAGUGUAGGCGGUUUGUUAAGUCUUCUGUGAAAUCUACGGGCUUAGCCUGUAAAGUGCAGAGGAAACUGGCAAGCUUGAGUGUCGGAGAGGAUAGGGGAAUUCCCGGUGUAGAGGUGAAAUUCGUAGAGAUCGGGAGGAACACCAGUGGCGAAGGCGCCUAUCUGGCUGACAACUGACGCUGAGACUCGAAAGCAUGGGGAGCAAACAGG